rnacentral:tRNA from 43 species
CGCGGGGUGGAGCAGUUGGCAGCUCGUCGGGCUCAUAACCCGAAGGUCGUAGGUUCAAGUCCUGCCUCCGCAACCA